rnacentral:rRNA from 1 species
GAUGAACGCUGGCGGCGUGCCUAAUACAUGCAAGUCGAGCGAACAGACGAGGAGCUUGCUCCUCUGACGUUAGCGGCGGACGGGUGAGUAACACGUGGAUAACCUACCUAUAAGACUGGGAUAACUUCGGGAAACCGGAGCUUAUACCGGAUAAUAUAUUGAACCGCAUGGUUCUAUAGUUAAUGACGGUUUUGCUGUCACUUAUAGAUGGAUCCGCGCCGCAUUAGCUAGUUGGUAAGGUAACGGCUUACCAAGGCAACGAUGCGUAGCCGACCUGAGAGGGGGAGCGGCCAAACUGGAAGUGAGAAAGGGAAAAGAAGACUAGGGGAGGAAGAAGAAGGGAAUAUGCGGCAAUGGGGGAAAGCAUGACGGAGAAAGGCAGAGUGAGAGAAGAAGGACUUCGGAUCGUAAAAAAAUGUUAUGAGGGAAGAAAAAAAGUGUAAGUAAAGAUGCACGAAGUGACGGUAACGAAACAGAAAGAAACGGCUAACUACGUG